GAAACCACACGAAGACGUUCAUAUGAUGCCGUUUUUAAGUUAAUAGCCGCUGCACAUAAGCUCAGCGUGAACAAAUCCAUGGUUCGGCGUUGGAGACACAGGGCUGCGUCCAUAACAGCAGAUUUAUUGUGAAAAACCGAGAGCGGCGGAGAUACCAGCAGUUUAUAGACCGGUGCAGCUUAAAUAUAAAUGGAGGUCGCGGCUUCUGACGUAAUAUGCAGCCUGUCUGCGUUCCCAAGAUGGAGGUCUGGCCUGAUUUCAAGGUAUUUCUGGCCGUCUGCAGGGCUGAUUGAGUUUUGAAUCUGCUGAUAUGGAGGCCCUGUUGGAGGAGCGCGAGAGGCCUUAUCUCCUCUCCUGAAGAAGAACUCCUGGUGACAAAAUGAAUAGGUCUGUCCACAUAAAGACAAGGAGGCCCCUUCAAGGGAGAUUUUUUUUUAGCUUUUUCCACUCCUGAAGUGACCCUUUUCUAAGAAAAAGCUGAGUGAUAUUCAGAAACAUCUCUUAGUUUCCUUGUUUUCCCAAAUAUGAUUUUUUUUUUGUGCUUCCAGUGCUUGUUUGAAGGAACAAAGUGAAAUUUUAUAAAAUCUUAAAAACGACUUACUUUCUUACUUAAAAUUAUUUUCAUGGUGUCAGACCCAGGUCUACAGUACAUUUGGGGAAUGGGUUAGCUUACAAUUACAAUUCACAUGCAUGCAUCAACUGGAUGUCAUUUGCUGAGAUUAAUUUCCAACAAUAAAUUUAGUGCUGUUUCAACGUUUAGAGAUUUAGUGCCACCAGAUCUUGUUAUAUUACAUCCGUAUAGCUAUAAGAUGA